AUAUUGUGCCAAUGGUUAAUUACUCCCGUUGAGUAUGUAAACCUUAUUUCCCAUCUCAAUUUGUCUCACUUCAACUUACAGCCAUUGGAUUGUGUUGUACCUUUCUCUGCUAGAUUGAAGAGCCCAUUAUUAAGUAUGUGUUCCCCAUCUUGCUGCUUAUAGAGUAUGGUCAAGUCAUCCCUUUACCUUCUCUUUAAGCUAAAUAGAUUGAGUUCCUUGAAUCUAUCACUUUAAGGCAGUGGUUCUCAAACAUUUGUGCCCCCUUUCUCUGUGUCUGUAGCAGUUUAUGCUGCCGCUAUACAAAUGCAUGUAUCAAUUAAAAAAAAUUAACAUGAAACUCUCACUAAAUAUUAAAAACAGGCAUUGAUUCAAACAGAGCCAACAGUCCAUUGUAAUGAGAGCGAAAGCAAAACAGCUACUGAUCGAUGCUUCAAUUAAAUUUGGUUGUAGCAAAUGGAUUAACAUGCAGCUAGAUGGCAAUGAAUUUGUAUAAUGCUAUGCAACCUUAAUAGAAAUCAGUCAAAAUGAACAGCGCUGUCUAGUCAUAUACACAGUGCCACCUGAGGACAUGAUUUGUCUGAAGGAAUCAGCUUUGCUUGUUCAUUGCUGUGGAUAAAAUGUGCACAGUACGUUUCUCCCCCCCAAAAAAGCUGCUCCUGCUCUCCCCAAUACAUACUCUGUCUCACCCCCAACCCCACCCAGUUUGAGAACCUCUGCGAGUAUAAGGCAGUUUUCUAUUUCUUUUAUCAUUCCCCUGGCUCUUCUCUAAACCCUCUAAUUUAUCAACAGUCUUCUUCAAUUGUGGGCUCCAGAACAGGACAUAGUAUUUCAGCAGCGGUCGCCCAAGUCACUGCUUCCCAGGAUAAAGUCCCCCAUCUUGUAAGGUUGACCUAAAUUCUUGGUUCCUAGAUGUAUGUGUGACCAAUUGGGAGUUCUGUCUGUACCACUUUUAAAUUUUGGAUGAUUUUAUGAAAUUAUAUUAUUAAAUUACUGUGUCAUGGAAAGCCUAUAUGUAUGUUGAUCUCCUAUAAAUUAGCAGAGUUGUAACAUCUCUGCCAGGCAAGAGAGGCAAUGGUGAGUGAGCAGCAAUUAACAAUCAUUCAAAAUAAAGCUCCUUAGGACAAUACAUUUGAUCUACCUGGGAGAAGACACUGCCUCCUCUUGACUGAAGAGCAGGGGGAAAAGAGACUUGGGAAAAAUGGAAAAUUACCAAAAGGUGGAACAAAAGAACCAGGUGACCCCAGCAGGAAUCUAUAAAGGGACUCUCAGGAGUGAACUGGAGACAAACGCCAUCUUGCGCCAGACUGGGGCAGGUGGGAGGGGACAGUUGCUGU